rnacentral:antisense_RNA from 1 species
CUUCACCGAACCCAGCAGCAGCGGCUGCCCGUCCGGCCGGUCCUGCCCGUAGACCGCGAGGAGCGCCUGCGCCUC